UGGAGGAUGUAUAGAUCUCCAAAGAACUAAGAAUGGUGUAAAACAGGUUCCCAAUUCCAGUUACCAGGUUUCCAGAUCAUCUCCCCAGUUACAAUGUAAUAAGAAAAGUGCACCAGAGGCUAACGAUGGUUCUAGACACACUUCAAAAGCUAGUUCUCAGAUACAAUGUGAUAGAAGAAGUGCACACGAAGCUGACGAUGCUUCUAGACAAGCUUCCAAAGCUAGUUCCCAGAGAAGUAGUCCAAACAUAGAAAGAGACAACAUUAAGAGAAAAGAAGUUUCUAAAGCCACUUCUC